GACGAACGCUGGCGGCGUGCUUAACACAUGCAAGUCGAACGAAGUGGCGAACGGGUGAGUAACGCGUAAUCAACCUGCCCUUCAGCGGGGGACAACAGUUGGAAACGACUGCUAAUACCGCAUACUGAAGGAGGGGAUUGCGUCUGAUUAGCUAGUUGGAGGGGUAACGGCCCACCAAGGCGAUGAUCAGUAGGCGGUCUGGGAGGAGGAACGGCCCAAUUGGGACUGGGGCACGGCCCAGACUCCUACGGGAGGGAGCAGUGGGGAAUCCUCCGCAAUGGACGAAAGUCUGACGGAGCAACGCCGGGGGAGUGAUGACGGGCUUCGGGUUGUAAAGCUCUGUUAAUCGGGACGCGGUACCGGAAUAGAAAGCCACGGCUAACUACGUGCCAGCCGCCGCGGUAAUUC
rnacentral:rRNA from 1 species